UAGCUAGUUAGCUGCUUGCCUGAAUACAUGAAAAUAUGAUGAAAGUAGAGCUCAUUGUAUUAACUUUUCUAUUGCCCAAUUUCUUCGAUACUGUUAAAAGAUGUGCAAUUCGUUUAGCUAAAUUCAAGUUGACUAAACACCUUUCGUUCCAUGCUUUGCUAUUACAGAUUCCUAACACGUUGGUAUGUUUAGAAAUUUGCAAUGCAAUAUCGGGUAUUCAGU